rnacentral:tRNA from 1 species
UGUGGGGUAGAGCAGGGGUAGCUCGCAAGGUUCAUAACCUUGAGGUCGCUGGUUCGAUUCCAGCCCCCACAA